AUCUGCCCCUAAGACGAGGAUAACAGUUGGAAACGACUGCUAAGACUGGAUAGGAGACAAGAAGGCAUCUUCUUGUUUUUAAAAGACCUAGCAAUAGGUAUGCUUAGGGAGGAGCUUGCGUCACAUUUGUUAGUGGGUGCGGUAAAGGCCUACCAAGAUUAUGGAGGGUAGGCGGGGUGAGGGGCUGAACGGCCACAUUGGGAUUGGGACCCGGCCCAAACUCCUACGGGAGGCAGCAGUAGGGAAUUUUCGGCAAUGGAGGAAACUCUGACCGAGCAACGCCGCGUGAACGAUGAAGUAUUUCGGUACGUAAAGUUCUUUUNUUAGGGAAGAAUAAAUGAUGGAAAAAUCAUUCUGACGGUACCUAAUGAAUAAGCCCCGGCUAACUAUGUGCCAGCAGCCGCGGUAAUACAUAGGGGGCAAGCGUUAUCCGGAAUUAUUGGGCGUAAAGGGUGCGUAGGCGGUUAAAUAAGUUUAUGGUCUAAGUGCAAUGCUCAACAUUGUGAUGCUAUAAAAACUGUUUAGCUAGAGUAAGAUAGAGGCAAGUGGAAUUCCAUGUGUAGUGGUAAAAUGCGUAAAUAUAUGGAGGAACACCAGUAGCGAAGGCGGCUUGCUGGGUCUUUACUGACGCUGAGGCACGAAAGCGUGGGGAGCAAACAGGAUUAGAUACCCUGGUAGUCCACGCCGUAAACGAUGAGUACUAAACGUUGGGUAAAACCAGUGUUGAAGUUAACACAUUAAGUACUCCGCCUGAGUAGUACGUACGCAAGUAUGAAACUUAAAGGAAUUGACGGGACUCCGCACAAGCGGUGGAUCAUGUUGUUUAAUUCGAAGGUACCCGAAAAACCUCACCAGGUCUUGACAUGCUUCUGCAAAGCUGUAGAAACACAGUGGAGGUUAUCAGUUGCACAGGUGGUGCAUGGUUGUCGUCAGCUCGUGUCGUGAGAUGUUGGGUUAAGUCCCGCAACGAGCGCAACCCUUAUUGUUAGUUACCAGCACGUAAUGGUGGGGACUUUAGCAAGACUGCCAGUGAUAAAUUGGAGGAAGGUGGGGACGACGUCAAAUCAUCAUGCCCCUUAUGACCUGGGCUACAAACGUGAUACAAUGGCUGUUACAAAGGGUAGCUGAAGCGCAAGUUUUUGGCGAAUCUCAAAAAAACAGUCUCAGUUCGGAUUGAAGUCUGCAACUCGACUUUCAUGAAGUUGGAAUCGCCUAGUAAUCGCGAAUCAGCAUGUCGCGGUGAAUACGUUCUCGGGGUUUGUACACACCGCCCGUCAAACCACGAAAGUUGGCAAUACCCAAAGCCGGUGGCC
rnacentral:rRNA from 1 species